GUACACUCCUACGGGAGGCAGCAGUGGGGAAUAUUGGACAAUGGGCGCAAGCCUGAUCCAGCCAUGCCGCGUGAGUGAUGAAGGCCCUAGGGUUGUAAAGCUCUUUCACCGGUGAAGAUAAUGACGGUAACCGGAGAAGAAGCCCCGGCUAACUUCGUGCCAGCAGCCGCGGUAAUACGAAGGGGGCUAGCGUUGUUCGGAUUUACUGGGCGUAAAGCGCACGUAGGCGGACUAUUAAGUCAGGGGUGAAAUCCCGGGGCUCAACCCCGGAACUGCCUUUGAUACUGGUAGUCUUGAGUUCGAGAGAGGUGAGUGGAAUUCCGAGUGUAGAGGCGAAAUUCGUAGAUAUUCGGAGGAACACCAGUGGCGAAGGCGGCUCACUGGCUCGAUACUGACGCUGAGGUGCGAAAGCGUGGGGAGCAAACAGGAUUAGAAACCCUUGUAGUCCCAUG
rnacentral:rRNA from 1 species